GUAAGGAAUGGACUUGAGGUCCCAGGAGAUUUUUUUUAUUUUUGCUAGCCAGAUAUCAUAAAGGCUACAAGUAUGAACAUCAUAUAACUUCCUGACCAGGUGUAGGGCAUGUUUAAGAAAAGUGAUAUCAAGUCCUUUGAUGAGUUUAACUAUUAGACAGCAGCUGGUUAUAAUGAUGGACAAAUGCCCAAUGUGUUUUAUUUUUUCCAAACUACCACUAUAAUGACACAAUCACUUAAGUACAUGCAACUU
rnacentral:lncRNA from 1 species